CCCUGUACACACGGAUAACAUACCGAAAGGUAUCCUUAUACGGGAUAACAUAAGAAAUUCGCAUGUUUUUCUUAUCAAAGCUCCGGCGGUACAGGAUGGACCCGCGUCUGAUUAGCUAGUUGGUGAGGUAACGGCUCACCAAGGCGACGAUCAGUAGCCGACCUGAGAGGGUGAUCGGCCACAUUGGAACUGAGACACGGUCCAAACUCCUACGGGAGGCAGCAGUGGGGAAUAUUGCACAAUGGGCGAAAGCCUGAUGCAGCAACGCCGCGUGAGCGAUGAAGGCCUUCGGGUCGUAAAGCUCUGUCCUCAAGGAAGAUAAUGACGGUACUUGAGGAGGAAGCCUUUGCUAACUACGUGCCAGCAGCCGCGGUAAUACGUAGGGGGCUAGCGUUAUCCGGAUUUACUGGGCGUAAAGGGUGCGUAGGCGGUCUUUUAAGUCAGGAGUGAAAGGCUACGGCUCAACCGUAGUAAGCUCUUGAAACUGGAGGACUUGAGUGCAGGAGAGGAGAGUGGAAUUCCUAGUGUAGCGGUGAAAUGCGUAGAUAUUAGGAGGAACACCAGUAGCGAAGGCGGCUCUCUGGACUGUAACUGACACUGAGGCUCGAAAGCGUGGGGAGCAAACAGGAUUAGAUACCCUGGUAGUCCACGCCGUANACGAUGAAUACUAGGUGUCGGGGCUCAUAAGAGCUUCGGUGCCGCAGCAAACGCAAUAAGUAUUCCACCUGGGGAGUACGUUCGCNAGAAUGAAACUCAA
rnacentral:rRNA from 1 species